ensembl:lncRNA
CUGAAAUGGGCUUUGUUGUUUUUGUUUCAAACUCUGAAACUCAUCUUCUGCUUUGGUGCACUUUCAGCCAGGUUUUCCUCUCUGUUUGGAGACGAAUGAUGGCAAGCUGGAUUACCAUUGCUGGGAGCCUACCAUCUGUGUAGCAUCCACUGAAUAGCCACUUCCUACUGGUCUGGUAGGAAGGUUGUCCACAGCCUGCCCCUGCACACUCCUCCAUAGACUAGUGCUUCAAUCCCACGUACACAUCCUUUCACUUGAUGAACAAUAACCUACGGACUACUCAAUACAAACAUUCCAUAAAAUCCUUGUGGGUUGUCUCGCUGGUCUUGUAUACCAUCCAUUGCAGGGGCGGUUCUUUUUCUCUUUUUGUUUUUGUGUGGUAUUUGCUGUAAUUUAAAUUAGUAUAGCAUACUUGAACAACCACUACAAAGUGUGCUUAAAUAUAACCGGUUCAACUGCAGUCUGUAAAUAUUUUGGGAUUCUUUUAUUUUUCUUCUUUCAUUAUUUCUUGUUUUAAAUAUUUUGUUUAAUUAUUUUGCAAUACAUGGUACCUGCACCAAAUUUAAACUUAUGUUUCUGUGUUGUUACUGACCACCAGCUCCUGUAGCAGAAUUUGGACUUCUGUGAUUUAUACUAGCCUAUACUGGUAUUUCUAUAGCCUUCUAUUAAACGUAUUAUAGCUAAUAUUAAGGACAUAUUAAUAUCAGUUAACCAUCUCGAAGACCCGUUACACGACAUCCUGAAAAAUUCCUGAAACCCUGACAUUGUCACAGAAAAAGCUCCCCAAAAAAUGAAAAAACUCUUCCAUGGGGAGAAAAAAGGAAAAAGAAGAAACCUUAGGAACAACGGCAGAGGAGGGAUCAUGAGGGAUGUCACGGUUUGACUUUAUUUCCUGUUUUAGCUUCACUUCGAGCUUUGUCAUACCCUGUGAUUGUCUGCCUUGUCCCUGAUUGUUUCCACCUGUGUCCAAUCACCUGCACCUUCCCAAUGUAUUUAAGCAAUGUGUGUCUCUUGUCGCGUCAUUGAAUGUCGUUAGUGAAUGUUCUACCCUGAAUAUUGUUCCCGUGUUUUGUAAGUUCCUGGUCCCCUUCCUCUCUGCGUCUUGCCCCCAGGCAUUUGGAUUUUGAUAUUUUGAUUAAUAAAGUUGUUUUCGUUGCACUUGAGCCCUGCUUCUGGCAACCCCACCCCACUUUGUGACGGCAUUGUGACAGGAUCGUGACAGGAUCCCUCUUUCGGGAUGGACAACCCGCAAUGGAUGUCAUGUGUACACAAUGAAGACGUAAAAGGUGUACAGUACGUUCAAUCCAUACAACAAAAAUCCUUUACAAAUUGAGAGUAGUAAGUGAGUAAGACUGGACCACUGCAGGAACAACCACCAUCAGAUAUAACCACCAGCAACAGAAACCUGCUA